AACUUCCCCUUUCAAUAAUAUGGCUUUUGCUUUGUUGGGUUAGUAUUUGAUGCAUGGGUCGUUGUUGCUGCUGAAAGAACUAAAAUACGUGGGAGCAAGCUGUGCCGAUCCAUCUAUCCAUCUUCCUGAACUGACUGGUUUUAUGUGUCCCAUUGCAGAAUAAAAGACUGGAAUGCCCCAUCCCCCUGUUUAUUCCUGUGCCCUAUAUGAGUCAGUAAGCAGAACGGGGGACAGAGUGGUCACAAGUUGAAAACAAUGUCUGCUUAAUCUGUUGCCGCAGCUUCUCAUGCCGAAGCAACUGCCCGGUCCUGUUUAAUGCGAUCCGACUUGUGAGUUCUCGCAAUUGAAAGGUAUAUACUUUCAAUGUAAUACAUUUACAGGUAUACAUUUACAGGUGCGGUUAGUCGAACACCUACAUUUCAUUUCUGUUCUCGCUUGCCACAGCCCCGUCUGUUUGUUGUGCACCCCUUGUUCGGUCCUGUGCCUUGCCAGCUCUGCAAGCCAGAAAAGGUAUGAAAUGCCUAUAACGUGUUGUUUUAAUGUCUCAACCCUUUCGGCAGCUGAAU